rnacentral:ncRNA from 1 species
GGGCCUCAAGUGAUGUGUGACGACCCCCAGAAUUUAAGCAUAUUAAUAAGGGGAGGAAGAGAAACCAACCGGGAUUCCCUGAGUAGCUGCGAGCGAAACGGGAGAAGCUCAGCACGUAGGGAUGGCGCAAAUUGCGUUAAUCCGAUUCCGUGUACUGGUGCGAACCAUCAUCUACUGCCUUUGGUGUAAACAGUUCAAGUUCAACUUGAAUGUGGCCUCGCUCCCAUAGAGGGUGACAGGCCCGUAGAACGGCACGUGAGCUUGGCAGUAGACGGGCGUACCAUAGAGUCGUGUUGCUUGAUAGUGCAGCACUAAGUGGGAGGUAAACUCCUUCUAAAGCUAAAUACUGCCAUGAGACCGAUAGCGAACAAGUACCGUGAGGGAAAGUUGAAAAGCACUCUGAAUAGAGAGUCAAAUAGUACGUGAAACUGCCUAGGGGACACAAACCCGUUGAACUCAAUGACCGGGGCGGCGACAUUCAGCCGCGCGUCGGUGCGCCUCCGGGCGUGCUGGCCGCGGUGCACUUGUCGACCUGCAGCGUACGGACAUCGCGAUCCAUUACGAACGGGGCAUUGGGGGUGCGCAAGCACCUCCUAGCAAUCCAACACUCGGUCCCAGGCUCGAGCGGUUGACUCUUUAGUAGUGGCACUUAGCUCAGAAGGCCUGUGCCGCGAACGGGGGAUUCGGAGGGCCUCCGGGCCUUCCGGAGUUCAGGCGAGUCCGGUGUACCGUUGGAUGCGUGAUGGACUCACACGGAACUCGGGUAGAUGGAAGCGCAUGCCAUUGCGGCAUGUACCGGCACCUAGCCAUGGGCGACCACUCUCCUGAUCGGCGAUGUAUAACACUUAUUGAGGUACCUUCGGGACCCGUCUUGAAACACGGACCAAGAAGUCUAUCUUGCGCGCAAGCCAAUGGGCACUCUGGAGAAAACCCAAAGGCGAAGAUAACACAACUGCUGUUUGCGGGAUUACGGGUGCACCACGGUCCUUCGCGGGACCGGCUAGCUGUGUGCCCCUCCAUCCCGGGGUGUCCCACCAAAUGGGGACCGCUCCGGCGGCGACCAU